GUACUGGAUUAGACUUUUGUUUGCUUCCAUGCCCCACUUUACUUCAUACUGGCAUCGUUUGACAAAGCUCUGUCUCUGACUUAUGUUGUGCACUGUUUUUUAGUGAGAGAAAGAGAAGUACAUUUGUAAAUUGUUAGAGAGAUAAAGGUUUGCAUGGAGAGUUUCCAUCUCAGCCACUCUUGGAAAAAUUAAAGAAAUCUUUUAUGGAGAGCUUCCAUCUCAGCCACUUUUUGGACCACUUGAAUUGAGAGGAAUAAUAAGAUCUUUAGUGAGGAGAGAGCCUCUACCUCAGCUCUUAUUGAAAAAAGGAGAUCACUUGUCACAUUCUGGGCCCUAAGCCUCCCAAGCUUCUCCAUCUUCUCCUUUUCAGAUCUUCACCAAAAUUGGCAAGCAUUGUUGCACUUAAGUACCCACAAGAUUCCUCAAGCUUCUUUAUGAAGGACACCGGAACCCGGGGCCAUCUGAUGGCUGUUCUCUAGGUAACCAGGGCUCCUCAGGCAUUGGACGCCUUUUUAAGAAUUUUGAAGCCCCGAUCCUCCUUUCUUUUGCCUUGCCUAUCGGAGUCGAGGACUCCACAUUCGCUAAGGCCAAGUCUCUACUCAAAGGACUCAGAAGAUUUAAUCAAUCAACAUCUAUUUCUAAAUUGCGAGGUUGCCUUGGCCCUUUGGACCGACCUUCUUCUUCUAUCGAAGUGGCUGUGGGUCAUUCCCCAAUCGAUCCCUCACCUCUUCUCCUUAUGCCUUAGUACUCCUUGGAAAAAUUCAAGAAAUCUUCUAUGGAGAGCUUCCUUCUCAGCCACUCUUUGGACCACUUGAAUUGAGAGGAAUAAUAGGAUCUUUAACUAGGAGAGAGCCUCUACCUCUUCUCUUAUUGACAAAAGUAGGUCACUUGUCACAUUCUGGGCCCUAAACCUCCCAAGCUUCUCCAUCUUCUCCUUUUCAGAUCUUCACCAAAAUUGGCAAGCGUUGUUGCACCUAAAUAUCCACAGGAAUCCUCAAGCAUCUUUAUGCUGGAACCCGGGGCCAUCUGAUGGCUGCUCUCUAGGCAACCAAGGCCUCUCAGGCAUUGGAUGCCUUUUUUGGAGACUAGAUAACAUUUUCGUCAAAAUUGGCCACAUUUGCAGCAGUAUCCAAGUCUCUUGGAGACACACUCAUAGGACUUGUAACGCUGCGGCAGAUGCACUAGCAAGGGAGGGAGCUAGUCACAACUAUCCCUUGGGGAAUUUGGACCCCCCUUAGCUCUCACCUCAUUUUUGGAUCUAUUGCAGAAAUUCUCGGACCCUCAAGGGUUCCUGUAUAGGGCACCCUGUUUUGGGGCUUGCCUAAUUGUUGUUUGUAAUUCUUUAUACAAUCAAUACAAAAGUCAACUUCCUCAAGGAAAAAAAAGAAGAGCUGGGAUUUACCUUAGCAGCACUUGCUCAUGUUUGACACAAUGCCACGUUGGAUGAAAAGAACAAUAAGUUAUGCCAGCAGUGGAGGCCUGGCUGUUCAAGCAUUUCAGCUUUGCUACAAGAGACUGGGUUGCUUGCUGUACAGGUAGUAGAGCUGGGAUUUUACCCUAGCAGCACUUGCUCAUGUUUGGCACAAUGCCAUGUUGGAUGAAAAGAACAGUAAGUUAUGCCAACAGUGGAGGCCUGGCUGUUUAAGCAUUUCGAGCAUAUUUUCAGGUUUGCUACAGGACGCUUGGUUGCUUGCUGUACAGGUGGUAGAGCUGGGAUUUACCCUAGCAGCACUUGCUCAGGUUUGGCGCAAUGCCACGUUGGAUGAAAAGAACAAUAAGUUAUGCUAGCAUUGGAGGCCUGGCUGUUCAAGCAUUUCAGGCAUAAUUUCAGCUUUCUGCAAGAGACUUGGUUGCUGGCUGUACAUUUAUCUUUGUAGGUGGUAGAGCUGGGAUUACCCUAGCAGCACUUGCUCAUGUUUGACACAAUGCCAUGCUGGAUGAAAAGAACAGUAAGUUAUGCCAGCAGUGGAGGCCUGGUUGUUUAAGCAUUUCGGGCAUAUUUUCAGCUUUUCUACAGGACGCUUGGUUGCUUGCUGUACAAGUGCUAUUUAAUGUUGUUAUUCUAUAUUGUUGAUCCCCUUAGGCUGGAGGACUAUCUAAAUAACUUAUUAAAGCUCAGUUCGUGAAAUUGGGGAUUCUCUAUGUGUUGUAGUCUCUGGUGGUAUUUGCCGUUAUAAAUAAUCUUGUAACCAUUUAUCACCAUUUCCUCUUAUUCUUUCCCUCCUACUGUGUAUGUGAUUAAAGCACCUAUUCAUUGUACAUUCUCUCAUAUCUAUAUUUUUUUCAGCUCUUUUAUCCCAUUAUUCCCCUCUCCUUAUCCCCAGCAUCUAGAGCAAACCAUAUCCAUAUUGCUGAUAUUACUUUGUAAUUGUGCAAGCCUCUCUCUCUCUUUCUCUCUCUCCCCCUACACGCCGACACACACGUGCAUGUGCACGUGCACAUUUGCACAAACAAAAUGAAAAAUAACUAUUGCUACCCAUGAAAGAAGUAUUAAGCACAUUUACAUGUAGAACAUUUGCUUCUGGGUUUUUUAGUUAAGUAUAUAUAAAACAAUAAAAAAGUAUACAAAGAGACCGUUUACUUUUUGUACAAGGAGGACACAAUCAGUCAUGUCCCUUAGAUUUCAAAUUGGGUAGUUGUAGGAGUGUCAUUAGAUAAACUCAAAGUUUGAAAAAAAAAUCUCGGACUUUGUGACCCACCCUAAGCCAACAAAUUUGACAUCCAAUGAAUAGAAAUAAUUGUGACACCCUUAUACAAAUAGUAAAUGGUUUCUUUGUAUAUAAUCCCGAGAACAUUUGCUCCUUGCAUGAUCAAUAAGGUCUGUGGAUAUCAAUCGACAAUUUGACUUGGGCAUAUGUGUCUCCUAUUUUAUCUAAAUAUGCCUGGGAAUUUUUAAAUUGUAAAUACUCGUUACUCUCAUGGUUGAGUGAACAAUUUAUAUGAUUAUAUUACCUAAUUUUGAUUUUUUUUUUUUUCCAUGUACCCAUAGCAAAAUAACUAAUCUUGAAUUUUUUGCAUCAGAAACAUGCAUGCUUUGGAAUUUCACCCCCAUCAUCAUGCAUGGAGGGCAUAUCACUUUUAUUGAAGUCCAUCCUGAAGUAUACUAUAGAGGUGAACGCAAUUGUUUAGUUAAAAGUUCCUGAACUCUGAGUGAUCUGGGCUGACCUGAUUGCUGAUUGGCAUGCAUGGGAAGAAGUGGAGGACAUGUCCAUCUUUGAUGCCAGAAAACAAGUUGUUCAUUUGCAUGGAAGAUGCGGAAUAAAGGGAGUUGCUAGCCCCACCUGCACCUCCUAUUUCCUAGCGUUCAAUAAUUGAAGGCAUCGAUACAUUUAUCAGCGAGUUAUGGAAGGAUCCUCUGCUGCAACAUGGAGAGCUUGCUCUUGUGUGCAUGUUUUGCUCGAUUUGCCAAGGUUCUCAUUUGAAACUGAAGGAAUUAAACAAGCAUUAGCAAUUGCUUUUUAUAAAGCUACAUUUUCACGUUCUCUUGACAUGCGAAGCACGCCAAUGGCUUUGUGGAAGCCUCUUUUCUGUUUGUUACUUGUAUAUAUUUUGCCUUGAUUAUAUAAAUAAGUUUUUGGAGAAGGAUGAGGAUGAAAGUUUCACUGUGUGGAUAUGUUGAUUGGCAUGUAUUUCUAC